GUGCUCACCUCGGCAGCACAUAUACCCAAACCAGAAUGAUACAUCGUCCCCCUGCAAGGAUGAUACCCAAACUUGUGAAGCAUUCUGUAUUUUU
rnacentral:snRNA from 1 species